ensembl:lncRNA
ACGCGCAAGGGCUGGCGGGAAGGCGCGCUGCCACACACGGCGCCUCGUCCCCGCGCGGCGCCUCGUGAGGGGGUGAGGUGGAACUUUCUCCGCUGUGAGGGGGCUCUUUUCAGGACGAAUUCCUGACUGGCUGGGACGGGCUGCCCCCACGAGGCUCGGUGUCCCUCACACAGGAGAGCGCAGCCAACCGCCACGGGAGUUGCCUCCGAAACUCUCUCAGUGUGUGACCGUCACCCCUUCUCCGCCUCCCUGCGGUACAAACUAUUUCUCCAGCAUAAACAUACAAGUAACGUAAUCCUCACGGCCUGCUGCAUAAGGCUACCUGCGGCGGGACAGAGAAUAAUUAGUGAGAAUUUACUGGUGAUAGCAGGGAAGAUGACGUGGAGGUGAACGAAGCACUGAAAGCAUCGAGAGAAGGGAGAGGGCUGUGGUGCCGCUCCGCCGCCCGCUGCCGUGGCAACGCGGUGUAAACGAAGCGCGGCGGGCCGGCCGAGCCGCUGGGACAGGGACAGGGAUAUAGGGACAGGGAUAGCUAUAGGGACAGGGAUAUAGGGACAGGGAUAGCUAUAGGGACAGGGAUAUAGGGACAGGGAUAGCUACAGGGACAGGGAUAUAGGGACAGGGAUAGCGAUAGGGACAGGACGCGCUGCCCCGCCGCCCGCCCGCUGUGUGUGGAAUCCGUGCCUUUGCCGCGCUUCGCUGUGGAAACACACGGUUUCAGGACCUUAAAACAUCUAAGGACAGUAUGUCUGAAAAGCAGAAAAUUAAGAGGAGAAGCACAGAAGGUCGUGGAGCUGUUGUUGCUCUUCCAAGUGCAGAUAAGAUAGUGAAAGAAAUCUGUGAUUCAUACAAAGCUCUAGGAAAAAAUAGCCAAAAAACAUCAACGAGCAGACUGUGGCCAGAUAAACAAGGGGCACAUUGUCAAAGUAAAAAGCAGUUAACAUUACAGAUGGGACAACACACCUCUCUACCUUUCCUGCUGAAGAAAGAGAUCAUAAGGCAUGGCUUUGACUUCAGCUUUCUGCUACAGGUCUCAUGCCCAGAAUCCAACAUUCCAAAAUCUUUUAAGGAUAUGCAACAAAGGUUUAAUAUAGCAAUACUGGAAAACAGGAACAAGAAGUCUGAGUUCCAUUUGCCACCAGUGACACUUCAGCCUGUAAGAACAAUUCACCUUGCUCCUCUAGAUGAUAUUUUCAUCAAUAAGCACACCAAGAUCAGAAAUAUUUUGAAUAUUAUGAAGUCUAUUUCUCAGCCUAUAAAAUCAGCUGCUAAAUUUUAUCAGUAUCACUUAGGCAAUAUAGUAAUAAGACAAGCUGAAAAGUCUUCAGGUGUAAUUGUGGCUACUGUUUCUGAGAAGUUCACUCCAACAGAAGGCCUGUACUGCUUCAGCAAGAAUAAAUAUUAUGAGUACCCUAACAAUAAGAAAGAAGAAAUUGAAAACAAUUUGGAAUGGACAGAAGCUGAGGUAGCUGCCAAUACUGAAAAGAGGGACUGGAAGAAGUCCCAGUUUUCAGUGGCUUGUGAAAAUGUAGAUAUUAUGACCAAAGACAGUUUUUGUGAUGCUUGUCUUUUUUACCUGAGCUCAAAUAAUGUUGUGAAAAACUGUGGACUAUUUACAGCUCUGUGUCCUGUGUCAAAAAACACAGAUAUUUUAAGAGCUGGUGAGAAGGAAGAAAGAGAGGAGAAUUCCUAUAGAACUGGUAUAGAAGAAGACAUUACGGACAUAAUACUGCACUGUAGACCAUGUGAAGAUGCUGAGAGUGUACCCUUCAUGCUUGGUGAUUGUAAUUUAGAUUCUUCACGAAAAAAUGAAGUGAGUGAGUCCUGCCAUGUCUUGGAAGAUAAUUCUGUAGCUGCAGUAAUUCCUGGAGAAGAACUGCAUGAUUGUUCUGGAAAACAAACAGAAAAUAAUAUUUGUCUUCUCAAGUUUGAAAUGGAGAAUAAAGCAAUGUCAGAAGUGACUGCAAAAGGUCAAAAUGAGCUUGUUCCUGUUGUCCACGUUACUUUCUCUGAACAAGAACUACUUAGGAAACCACGCAUUGCUAAACAUCCUGCCAGAAAAAGGAGUACUGUUCGUAGCCUGCCUCCUCAUAUCAGUCAGAGCUUCAACAUUCUUGCUCGCAAAGACAAUGACAAAAGUGAGAUAAAGUUGAAUAGAAACAAGUGUUCAUCAAAAUCUAAAAUGAGUAGCAAGACAAGGACACCUGAAGGCUUAGUUAUUUCUGAUGAGACUUCCAUAAAACAUAAUACACAAAAGAGGAAUGCCAAGAGGCAGAUUUUUCCAUCUUUGCAACUGCCAUGCAUGGAUUCUGAGACUUUCCUGAAGUGUCAAAAAAAAAAAACCUCAAGCCAACAAAUGUAAUUUUCUUCAGAGUUCUCAGAAACUUAAAAAGCAAAGUUCUUCCUGCAGUUGUAAAAAUCUAGUUAUCUCAAAGAAACCUGUUACUCCCCUUUCUCUACAAUAUGCACAAUCUGCUUCAGAGUUUG